CACGUUCCUGGUGAUUAUCACCCACGUGACCCCGAGCGACUCGACGGGGCCGGCACCAUGCGUCGUGGAGCCCAUUUCAAGCUGGACCAACUCCUCCUUCAACGAUCCCAGCCACUUGUCCUUGCGCGAGGCGGCUGAGUUGGUGCGACGGCAAACAGGCGAUGCCCAGCGCCACCAGUCGUUCCUGCUCUCUUCGUCAAUGGCAGUCGUGUACUACAGCAUCGACGAGGACGCCGACAGGAACGCUGAACUCAAGGAGGUCCCAUGCACGGGUGCCUCUGUCUCCUCGUACGCAACGGUGUGCACUACCGAGAUGGGUUGGAAGGUGGGCGCGGAGGGGAUCGGCGACCACGUGCGCUACGAACAGUUCUCCGAGAUGGGCAAGUGGCGCACGUACAAGACGAGGCCGCACCUGGCUGCA